rnacentral:misc_RNA from 1 species
GAUGAAGAACGUAGCGAAAUGCGAUAUGUAAUGUGAAUUGCAGAAUUCAGUGAAUCAUCGAAUCUUUGAACGCACAUGGCGCCUUCCAGUAUCCUGGGAGGCAUGCCUGUCCGAGCGUCGUUUCAACCCUCGAGCCCCCGUGGCCCGGCGUUGGGGAUCUGCCACGGCAGGCCCCUAAAACCAGUGGCGGACCCGAAGGCCCUCUCCUUUGCGCAGUAGCAUCAGCCUCGCAUUGGGAUCCCUCGGCGUCCUGCCUCUAAACCCCCCACAAGUCCGCUCCGGCGGCACCAAGGUUGACCUCGGAUCAGGUAGGAAUACCCGCUGAACUUAAGCAUAUCAAUAAGCGGAGGA